rnacentral:rRNA from 1 species
ACGGAGGGUGCGAGCGUUAAUCGGAAUUACUGGGCGUAAAGCGUGCGUAGGCGGUUUCGUAAGUCGGAUGUGAAAGCCCCGGGCUCAACCUGGGAAUUGCAUUCGAGACUGCGAGGCUCGAGUGCGGAAGAGGGAAGUGGAAUUUCCGGUGUAGCGGUGAAAUGCGUAGAUAUCGGAAGGAACAUCGGCGGCGAAAGCGACACCCUGGGCCGUACCUGACGCUAAGACGCGACAGCACGGGGAGCGAACGG